rnacentral:lncRNA from 1 species
CCCUGGGGCUGUCCUCCCAGAGGUCUGCUCCUUCCAGUGCCAUGACCCAACAUGUGCCUAUGGGCUGUCCCCCACAGGCCCUCUCUUUCUACCUUCAUGUCCCCUCCUGUAUACCUGAUUGUCCUCAACAGGCCUACUCCUUUCAUCCUCUGUGUUCCCUCCUCUCCUACCCACUUGUCCUCCACAGACCUGCUCCUUCCACCCCAGGGUGUCCCCUACUAGUACUUCCUAUACCUGUGUUUGCCUUUUUCCAUGUUCAUCUUGGCCUGGGAGUCCCCUGUGGCCCCACAGACUAUCCUGACUGCUUGUUCCUUUUCAUAGGCCUGAAUGAAGAGGCCAAACUGUUUCUACAGAAUCACUCUGGCCUCCAGCUGAAAUGGAUGAUGCUCCUAAGUAGGAGGACUCGGGCCAUCCUCAGGAACCUGCCCUAUGGGAACUUUAUCUGCCCCCAGGCCUGCAUUCUGCAGGUUUUCCAGGCUUCCAGAUGGCAUCUAUCCGUCGAGAAUUUACACCUGUCUGAGGUCCCAGCUGCAGUUUCUAUUCCCGCCAUGGAAGACCUGAAAACACAGGACUGGAGUUUGGGAUAAAGGCCUGACCUGGGCAGGAUGGUUCUUCCAGAGGGUGGACUCAGGGGCUCUCUCCCAUAUGUUCCUUUUCAGGGUAAGACUAUGUUUUUGGCUCUCAUCAUGGGGGUGGGGGGAUGCCCUGGUGGCCUAAGGGAUGGGUCACUCUUUCUCUGCAGACUCUUAGCUUUUCUUCUCAUUGUCAGAGGGUGGGGAUUAAACCAGGGGCCUCUCUUUCUCCUAAACCCUCCUCAGAUACCUCUCCUUCACCUCUGUACAGUGUUUUCUGUCACUUGAAGAGAAGAUGAGCUAGAUUUUGGAAGGGAGAAUGGACGGCAGCCUCCCUUUCCUCAGCAUCAUAAACUCUUCCUGUGUCUGUAAUAAGGCACUGUGUACACUGUUGUGGAGAGUGGGUCCAACAGCAAUUGCAUAGGAACUGAUAGCACUCAGGGAGGAUGGGGGCCUAGAAAUGAGGCUAUGAGUAUCCUCUUGCCUCUUGGUGUGGGGAGCUGGGUCCAGGCUAUAGGAGCCACCAUCCCUGUCUGGAGACUGGACAUGAGUAAGCUGGCAUAGCUGCUUCAUUUGCACUUUCUCUCCUUCCGUCCUUU